rnacentral:misc_RNA from 1 species
UGGCUCUCGCAUCGAUGAAGAACGCAGCGAAAUGCGAUAAGUAAUGUGAAUUGCAGAAUUCAGUGAAUCAUCGAAUCUUUGAACGCACCUUGCGCUCCUUGGUAUUCCGAGGAGCAUGCCUGUUUGAGUGUCAUUAAAUUCUCAACCUUAUUAGCUUUUGCUGAUAAUGGCUUGGAUUUGGGGGUUUUUUGCCGGCUUUCACAAGUCAGCUCCCCUUAAAUAUAUUAGCUGGUGCCCUCUGGUUAACCAUCUAUUGGUGUGAUAAUUAUCUACGCCGUGGAUGUUAGCUGCUUUGUGGGUGCACUGCUUCUAAUAGUCUGUUCAUUCAGACAAUUUAUAUGAUCUUUUGACCUCAAAUCAGGUAGGACUACCCGCUGA